rnacentral:rRNA from 1 species
GGCUCAGACGAAACGCUGGCGGCGUGCCUAACACAUGCAAGUCGAACGUGAUCUACCUUUCGGGGUAGUGAAAGUGGCGCACGGGUGAGUAACGCGUAGAUAAUCUGCCCAAUGCUCUGGGAUAACAUCUCGAAAGGGGUGCUAAUACCGGAUAAGCUCACGGGGUCUUCGGACUCUGCGGGAAAAGAGGGGGACCUUCGGGCCUCUUGACAUCGGAUGAGUCUACGUACCAUUAGCUAGUUGGUAGGGUAAAGGCCUACCAAGGCGACGAUGGUUAGCUGGUCUGAGAGGAUGAUCAGCCACACUGGAACUGAGACACGGUCCAGACUCCUACGGGAGGCAGCAGUGGGGAAUUUUGCGCAAUGGGGGAAACCCUGACGCAGCAACGCCGCGUGAGUGAUGAAGGCCUUCGGGUCGUAAAGCUCUGUCAGAGGGAAAGAAAUGCGGGAUGCUAAUAUCAUUUCCGCUUGACGGUACCCUCAAAGGAAGCACCGGCUAACUCCGUGCCAGCAGCCGCGGUAAUACGGAGGGUGCGAGCGUUGUUCGGAAUUAUUGGGCGUAAAGCGCGUGUAGGCGGUUUUGUAAGUCUGAUGUGAAAGCCCCGGGCUCAACCUGGGAAGUGCAUUGGAUACUGCAAGACUUGAGUACGGGAGAGGGCAGUGGAAUUCCUAGUGUAGGAGUGAAAUCCGUAGAUAUUAGGAGGAACACCGGUGGCGAAGGCGGCUGCCUGGACCGAUACUGACGCUGAGACGCGAAAGCGUGGGGAGCAAACAGGAUUAGAUACCCUGGUAGUCCACGCCGUAAACGAUGAGUACUAGGUGUUGCGGGUAUUGACCCCUGCAGUGCCGCAGCUAACGCAUUAAGUACUCCGCCUGGGAAGUACGGUCGCAAG